GCGGAUAUGGCGGAACUGGCAGACGCGCACGGUUCAGGUCCGUGUGAGUAACAUCGUGGAGGUUCGAGUCCUCUUAUCCGCACCA
rnacentral:tRNA from 1 species